AAUAGAUACCCGGGUAGUCCACGCCGUAAACGAUGAGUGCUAAGUGUUGGGGGGGUUUCCGCCCCUCAGUGCUGCAGCUAACGCAUUAAGCACUCCGCCUGGGGGAGUACGGUCGCAAGACUGAAACUCAAAGGAAUUGACGGGGGCCCGCACAAGCGGUGGAGCAUGUGGUUUAAUUCGAAGCAACGCGAAGAACCUUACCAGGUCUUGACAUCCCGGUGACCACUAUGGAGACAUAGUUUCCCCUUCGGGGGCAACGGUGACAGGUGGUGCAUGGUUGUCGUCAGCUCGUGUCGUGAGAUGUUGGGUUAAGUCCCGCAACGAGCGCAACCCUUAUUCUUAGUUGCCAUCAUUCAGUUGGGCACUCUAAGGAGACUGCCGUACAAAUACGGAGGAAGGUGGGGAUGACGUCAAAUCAUCAUGCCCCUUAUGACCUGGGCUACACACGUGCUACAAUGGACGGUACAAACGGUUGCGAAGUCGCGAGACGGAGCCAAUCCGAGAAAGCCGUUCUCAGUUCGGAUUGCAGG
rnacentral:rRNA from 1 species